rnacentral:rRNA from 1 species
CCUACGGGAGGCAGCAGUGAGGAAUAUUGGUCAAUGGCCGGAAGGCUGAACCAGCCAAGCCGCGUGAUGGAGGAAGGCGCAGAGCGUCGCAGACCUCUUUUGUCGGGGGACAAAAGGCCGGACUCGUCCGGUCCUGAGGGUACCCAGAGAAAAAGCAUAGGCUAACACCGUGCCAGCAGCGGCGGGAAUACGGGGGAUGCGAGCGUUAUCCGGAUUAAUUGGGUUAAAAGGGUGCGCAGGGGGGCCUUUAAGCCGGCGGUGAAAUCGCGGGGCUCAACCCCGCCGAGCCGUCGGAACUGGGGGCAUUGAGUGCGGCGGAGGCAUGCGGAAUGCGGGGUGUAGCGGUGAAAUGCAUAGAUAUCGCGCAGAACCCCGAUUGCGAAGGCAGCGUGCCGUGCCGCCACUGACGCUGAGGCACGAAAGCGCGGGGAUCGAACAGGAUUAGAUACCCCUGUAGUC